rnacentral:misc_RNA from 1 species
UCUCCGUAGGUGAACCUGCGGAGGGAUCAUUACAGAGUUCUCGCCCUCGCGGGUAGAUCUCCCACCCACUGUUAUCGUUACUGUGUUGCUUUGGCGGGCCGCCGGGCCCCGCUCGGCCGCCGGCUCCGGCUGGCGCGCGCCCGCCAGAGGCCCAGCAAACCCUGAAUGUUAGUAUCGUCUGAGUACUAUAUAAUAGUUAAAACUUUCAACAACGGAUCUCUUGGUUCUG